UACCUAGUUGGCGGGGUAACGGCCCACCAAGGGGGAGAUGUCUAGCGGGUGUGAGAGCACGACCCGCGCCACUCGCACUGAGACACUGGCGAGACACCUACGGGUGGCUGCAGUCGAGGAUCUUCGGCAAUGCGCGCAAGCGCGACCGAGCGACGCCGCGUGGGCGACGAAGGCCUUCGGGUUGUAAAGCCCUGUCGAGGGGGAGAAAGCCGCAAGGCGGAUCCAUCCCUGGAGGAAGCUCGGG
rnacentral:rRNA from 1 species